rnacentral:rRNA from 1 species
UACGAAGGGGGCAAGCGUUGUUCGGAAUUACUGGGCGUAAAGGGCGCGUAGGCGGCCGCCUUUGUCAGGUGUGAAAGCCCCAGGCUCAACCUGGGAACUUGCACUUGGGACGGGGUGGCUUGAGUUCGGGGAGAGGAGAGUGGAAUUCCCAGUGUAGAGGUGAAAUUCGUAGAUAUUGGGAAGAACACCGGUGGCGAAGGCGGCUCUCUGGACCGAUACUGACGCUGAGGCGCGAAAAGCGUGGGGAGCAAACAGG